GACGAACGCUGGCGGCGUGCUUAACACAUGCAAGUCGAACGGAAAGGCCCUGCUUUUGCUGGGUGCUCGAGUGGCGAACGGGUGAGUAACACGUGAGUAACCUGCCCUUGACUUUGGGAUAACUUCAGGAAACUGGGGCUAAUACCGGAUAGGAGCUCCUGCGGCAUGGUGGGGGUUGGAAAGUUUCGGCGGUUGGGGAUGGACUCGCGGCUUAUCAGCUUGUUGGUGGGGUAGUGGCUUACCAAGGCUUUGACGGGUAGCCGGCCUGAGAGGGUGACCGGCCACAUUGGGACUGAGAUACGGCCCAGACUCCUACGGGCGGCAGCAGUGGGGAAUAUUGCACAAUGGGCGGAAGCCUGAUGCAGCAACGCCGCGUGCGGGAUGACGGCCUUCGGGUUGUAAACCGCUUUCGCCUGUGACGAAGCGUGAGUGACGGUAAUGGGUAAAGAAGCACCGGCUAACUACGUG
rnacentral:rRNA from 1 species